AGAAGUGGGCGCUGAACAACCACAUGAAGCUGCACACGGGAGAGAAGCCGUUCAAGUGCACCUGGCCCACCUGCCAUUACUCUUUCCUCACAGCCUCCGCCAUGAAGGACCACUUCAGGACUCACACAGGCGAGAAGUCGUUCCUCUGUGACCUUUGUGGCUUUGCCGGCGGGACACGUCAUGCCCUCACCAAGCAUCGGCGGCAGCACACAGGAGAGAAACCAUUCAAAUGUGAUGAGUGUAACUUCGCUUCCACAACACAAUCGCAUCUGACACGACAUAAGCGUGUCCAUACUGGAGAAAAG